CUUUUCGUAAUCUUGAGUAUUCUGCGCAUUUUCGCAUUGCAAUUUAAUUUCCAGACAGCUCCUAGAUAAAUAAGUUUUAUAUUUGUACAAAUAUAAAACAAGUAAGUAAGCUACAGUCGAGUGUGCUCGACUGUGAGAUCCCCUGUGCCACAUAUCAAAUGAAUAUACAGUGGGUAUAAAAGUACUACCAAUUUUGGUUUAAUCUUUCCAGAACCUUAUUAUAUAGUGCAGUGUGCAAUGAAACAAAAGAGUGUUCUUUUGGCGAGGAUGAGUUACAUGUUAAUUGCAAAUAUCCCAUAACUAGUCGUCCUCGAGUUUUCUACUGUGCAAACGGAGUGUCUAUCGAUAAAUCUCAAAUGUGCAAGAAAAUAAUUGAUUGUAUCGAUCAAUCUGAUGAAUCGAUUGCGAUUUGUAAGGAGGAAGAAAUAAAGCUGAACCUCCGAAUUCA